rnacentral:rRNA from 1 species
UACGUAGGGUGCAAGCGUUAAUCGGAAUUACUGGGCGUAAAGCGUGCGCAGGCGGCUAUGCAAGACAGAUGUGAAAUCCCCGGGCUCAACCUGGGAACUGCAUUUGUGACUGCAUGGCUAGAGUACGGUAGAGGGAAGUGGAAUUUCCGGUGUAGCGGUGAAAUGCGUAGAUAUCGGAAGGAACAUCAGUGGCGAAAGCGACUUCCUGGACCAAUACUGACGCUCAUGUGCGAAAGCGUGGGGAGCAAACAGG